rnacentral:rRNA from 1 species
GUGGGGAAUCUUGCGCAAUGGGCGAAAGCCUGACGCAGCAACGCCGCGUGGGGGAUGAAGGCUCUCGGGUUGUAAACCCCUUUCAGCAGGGACGAAUCAAGACGGUACCUGCAGAAGAAGCCCCGGCUAACUACGUGCCAGCAGCCGCGGUAACACGUAGGGGGCAAGCGUUGUCCGGAUUUAUUGGGCGUAAAGAGCUCGUAGGUGGCUGAGUAAGUGGGAUGUCAAAUCCCCAGGCUCAACCUGGGAUCCCAUCCGAUACUGCUCUGGGUAGAGGCCGGUAGUGGAGCGUGGAGUUCCUGGUGUAGCGGUGAAAUGCGCAGAUAUCAGGAGGAACACCAGCGGCGAAGGCGGCGCUCUGGGCCGGUACUGACACUGAGGAGCGAAAGCGUGGGUAGCAAACAGGAUUAGAAACCCCUGUAGUCC